AGGGUACUUCAGCGCUGCGAGGAC
rnacentral:siRNA from 1 species